GCUGUCUCUACUCAUGUGCCCAUCCUUUUGCAUAGGUGGCACUAAGUAUUGUUUAGGUAUCUAAACAGGAGUGGCACAGAGUUGUAAGUGUCCCCACCUUGAGGUUGUACCACUGGUGCUGGAGGGGGUAGAGUUGGCCUGGUAAAUACUUUUUGCAGUAUGGAUCUCUGGAGUUGGCAGUAACGGAGCUCCCUGUACCCCUGGCUGGGUACCUCCACCAAGAACCGCUUCCUAGCUGGAACAGGGGACAAACUGCUGUACUUCUGCCCACAGUUGCCAUGGCUUGGCUGGGGUCCUGGAACCGCC